UGCAAGUCGAGCGGUAGCACAGAGAGCUUGCUCUCGGGUGACGAGCGGCGGACGGGUGAGUAAUGUCUGGGAAACUGCCUGAUGGAGGGGGAUAACUACUGGAAACGGUAGCUAAUACCGCAUAAUGUCGCAAGACCAAAGUGGGGGACCUUCGGGCCUCAUGCCAUCAGAUGUGCCCAGAUGGGAUUAGCUAGUAGGUGGGGUAACGGCUCACCUAGGCGACGAUCCCUAGCUGGUCUGAGAGGAUGACCAGCCACACUGGAACUGAGACACGGUCCAGACUCCUACGGGAGGCAGCAGUGGGGAAUAUUGCACAAUGGGCGCAAGCCUGAUGCAGCCAUGCCGCGUGUGUGAAGAAGGCCUUCGGGUUGUAAAGCACUUUCAGCGGGGAGGAAGGCGUUAAGGUUAAUAACCUUGGCGAUUGACGUUACCCGCAGAAGAAGCACCGGCUAACUCCGUGCCAGCAGCCGCGGUAAUACGGAGGGUGCAAGCGUUAAUCGGAAUUACUGGGCGUAAAGCGCACGCAGGCGGUCUGUCAAGUCGGAUGUGAAAUCCCCGGGCUCAACCUGGGAACUGCAUUCGAAACUGGCAGGCUAGAGUCUUGUAGAGGGGGGUAGAAUUCCAGGUGUAGCGGUGAAAUGCGUAGAGAUCUGGAGGAAUACCGGUGGCGAAGGCGGCCCCCUGGACAAAGACUGACGCUCAGGUGCAAAAGCGUGGGGAGCAAACCGGGAUUAGAUACCCUGGUAGUCCACGCCGUAAACGAUGUCGAUUUGGAGGUUGUGCCCUUGAGGCGUGGCUUCCGGAGCUAAC
rnacentral:rRNA from 1 species